CCUUUUGCCUGGUUUGGAUCUGUAUCCUUUUUCAAUAUAGUUGUAUUAUAAGUACAGGAAUUUCCUGAGUCCUGUGAGUCAUUCUAAAGAAUUACCAUUAGAGACAAGAGCACAGCAGGAGGCCUGUGGAAAGCAAAGAAACUGAAAAACACACAAGAAAAAGAGUAUGUAGAUGCUACGAGGCAGUAAAAGCCAUGAUCAAACAGAAGCUGCAAGAUGCAAGGAACUUCCACACCAACAGAGAGAAGCAGAGACAGAGAAAAGCUAAGUGUUCAGAAUGGCAGAACUUUACGGAGGCGGUUGGGCCACUAGAGCUGCUGUCAUGGCCAGAAUCAGAUCCAGCUUUUGUCUGAGACCCGAGGACUUAGAUGCCGAGUUCUGGAGGCUAGAAAGUCCACAAUUGUGCUGGCAGAUUUGGUGUCUGGUGAAGGCCAUCUUCCAAGUUGCAGAUUACCAACUUCUCCCUGUGCCGUGUCAGUGGAAGGGAGAGAGAGACAGCCAGCAAGAGUGGAAACACAAGCAGAGGGAGUGGGAGAGGAA